UACAGAGGGUGCGAGCGUUAAUCGGAGUGACUGGGCGUAAAGGGCAUGUAGGCGGUUAUAUUAGUCUGAUGUGAAAGACCUGGGCUUAACCUGGGAUACGCAUUGGAAACGGUAUAGCUAGAGUAUGGGAGAGGGAAGUGGAAUUUCCGGUGUAGCGGUGAAAUGCGUAGAGAUCGGAAAGAACACUCGUGGCGAAGGCGGCUUUCUGGCCCAAAACUGACGCUGAGGUGCGAAAGCAUGGGGAGCAAACAGG
rnacentral:rRNA from 1 species